rnacentral:rRNA from 1 species
AGUGAACGCUGGCGGUAGGCCUAACACAUGCAAGUCGAACGGCAGCACAGUAAGAGCUUGCUCUUACGGGUGGCGAGUGGCGGACGGGUGAGGAAUACAUCGGAAUCUACUUUUUCGUGGGGGAUAACGUAGGGAAACUUACGCUAAUACCGCAUACGACCUACGGGUGAAAGCAGGGGAUCUUCGGACCUUGCGCGAUUGAAUGAGCCGAUGUCGGAUUAGCUAGUUGGCGGGGUAAAGGCCCACCAAGGCGACGAUCCGUAGCUGGUCUGAGAGGAUGAUCAGCCACACUGGAAGUGAGACACGGUCCAGACUCCUACGGGAGGCAGCAGUGGGGAAUAUUGGACAAUGGGCGCAAGCCUGAUCCAGCCAUACCGCGUGGGUGAAGAAGGCCUUCGGGUUGUAAAGCCCUUUUGUUGGGAAAGAAAAGCAGCAGGUUAAUACCCCGCGGUUCUGACGGUACCCAAAGAAUAAGCACCGGCUAACUUCGUG